UAGAAAUGAGUAUAAGCAACUAUUCUCAUCAUUUUCUAAUUAUUACAAGCAAAUUUGUUUAAAAAAUUCAAUUUAUUCUUGGUGCACAGGUAGAUUUGAGGUUAGGGAAUCGCCACUGAAUUUUAUAUUCUUUGAAACCCUCGAACUAUCUAACAUGUAAUUUCACUUCGAGAAAAAUUUGAAACUCUGGGUAAGGGAAUAUAGGGUGAUAAAGGGUAUUAUCGGCAGGUUUGUUCUCUUCGUCAAGGGGGUUUUUUGUGGGCCAAAUUGCCUGAAAUUUGGGCACAUAACUCAGCUUGGUUGGGAAGGAUUUGAAGCCAACUUUGAGAUCAACAGGUUUCAAAAAACCCCCCAUGACGAAGAGAACAAAACUACCGAAAAUACGUAAGUUCCCCUAUAUAAAGGGAUUUUAUCAUUUCCUGCAAAUUUUGUUGUGCUUAUUUAGACCAGGUUGAUUAUUUUAGUUCAAACACAAUUUCUUAUUCCUAAUUAGGUUCUUUCUCCUGAAUUUGUUACAGAUUGUCUUGUUGUUCCACUGAUCUGCAGCGUUGUGAAAGGUAAGCAUUCAAUUUACAAUUUCCAUUUCAAAAUCACCAAUCACUCUCAUUGAAUGAUGCUAAAAAUCAUGGACCUGUUCUGAUCAACCAUGAAACGAAAAAACGAUUGCUUCUGACACCUCUUCUGACAAUGAACAAAUUCAUCCAGAGCUCGUUCAUUUCGCGUUUGUCCAAAUCUGUUCUUGGUUGCUAACGUGAAUUCCUUAUCUUUUUGAUACCCUUGCAGGUCGUAGUCUGCAGUUGCGUUUGAUGGAUCGAUUCUGUUUACAUUGGAUUUGCCUAAAGGUGAGCUUUCUUAGCAACAAUUUUAUUGACAAAAAAAAUCUACCCUACGAAUGAUGCCAAACAAUCAUGGACCUGUUCUGAAAUACAUCAAUGUUGAAGAACGAUUGCAUUUCUGACACCUCUUCUGACGUUUACUGUUGAUCUCAGCGAUAUUCACCAUUUAGAUUCCACGAACUCAACAAUAACCAUUUUUCAUUCGAUUCCAUUACAGGUUUUUCGUGGUUCGCUCAUGAAGAGUCCUCUGUGUUGCUGUUGUCCGCUCUGAAAGGUUUUGUCUAAACUUGGUUUUGAUUUCUCUCAAUUGAAUACUUUAGGUGGCUUCAUUUCGCAAAUUUCACUUCUGAAGAAUCGUUAAUCGGUAUACAAUACAUGUUAGUACCUAACUCGUAUUUUGGAACAAGUUUGCAAAGCAUCUGGAACAUAUUGUUCAUGUGAGCCAAAUCAAGCUUCUCCGUGUCUACCUACGGCAACUAGGAAUCAUUUUCGGAGGAACUAUUCUGGCAGUGAUGUGCUGUGAGAUAUACAACACGAACAUCCAAGUGAAAGAAUGAACACACGUUAGUAUUCUAUCACUUAAAUAUACGAGUCAACUUAUCUCACACUACUUCAGUUAAUGCCAAAUAAGCCUAACCUUUGACGCUUAAGAGUGGUUAAGUGGGCUAUGGAUUCGAACUAACCGAACCGAAUUCGGAAUUUGAAUCCUUUGUACCUAACGCACUGAAUGAAAUAAAAAAAAAUAA